UACGGAGGGUGCAAGCGUUAUCCGGAUUCACUGGGUUUAAAGGGUGCGUAGGUGGGCUAGUAAGUCCGUGGUGAAAUCCCUGAGCUUAACUUGGGAACUGCCAUUGAUACUAUUAGUCUUGAAUAUCGUGGAGGUAAGCGGAAUAUGUCAUGUAGCGGUGAAAUGCUUAGAUAUCUGGAGGAACACCGGUGGCGAAGGCGGCAUCCUGGACCAAUACUGACACUGAAAAGCGAAAGCCAGGGGAGCAAACGGG
rnacentral:rRNA from 1 species